GGACAUUGACGUAGUGCAGCUUGCAUGCCUGCAGGUCGACGAUUUUCCGGUUGAUCCUGCCGGACCCUACUGCUAUCGGGGUGGGACUUAAACAUGCGAGUCGAACGUUUCACAGCCACGAGUGAAACGUGGCAUACGGCUCAGUAACACGUGGCUAACCCACCCUCGGGACGGAGACAACCCCGGGAAACUGGGAUUAAUACCCGAUAGGCGAAGACUCCUGGAACGGGUCUUCACCCAAAAGGCGUUAAGGUCAUGCUCCUUAACAUCGCCCGAGGACGGGGCCGCGGCCGAUCAGGUAGUUGGCGAGGCAACGGCUCACCAAGCCUAUAACCGGUACGGGCCGUGGGAGCGGGAGCCCGGAGAUGGGUACUGAGACAAGGGCCCAGGCCCUACGGGGCGCAGCAGUUGCGAAAACUUGUCAAUGCACGAAAGUGUGAACGGGCUACCCCGAGUGCCGUCCGCUGAGGAUGGCUUUUCUCUGCUGUAAGAAGGCGGAGGAAUAAGGAGAGGGCAAGUCUGGUGUCAGCCGCCGCGGUAAUACCAGCUCUCCGAGUGGUAGGGAUGAUUAUUGGGCCUAAAGCGUUCGUAGCCGGCCUUCCAAGUCUUUCGUUAAAUCCAGCGAUUCAAUCGUUGGACUGCGGGAGAUACUGUUAGGCUAGGGGGCGGGAGAAGCCGACGGUAUUUCUGGGGUAGGGGUAAAAUCCUAUAAUCCCAGGAGGACCACCAGUGGCGUAGGCGGUCGGCUAGCACGCGCUCGACGGUGAGGGACGAAAGCUGGGGGAGCAAACCGGAUUAGAUACCCGGGUAGUCCCAGCUGUAAACGAUGCGGGCUAGGUGUUGAAGCGGCUACGAGCCGCUUCAGUGCCGCAGGGAAGCCAUUAAGCCCGCCGCCUGGGGAGUACGGCCGCAAGGCUGAAACUUAAAGGAAUUGGCGGGGGAGUACCACAAGGGGUGAAGCUUGCGGUUUAAAUGGAGUCAACGCCGGGAAUCUCUAGAGGAUCCCGGGUACCGAGCUCGAAUUCGUAU
rnacentral:rRNA from 1 species